GGAGAAAGUGCUCCUCAGCAUCAGAACAACCUCAGUAUGUGACCUCUGACCCCAACAUCAGCCCGUUUGUUUUCAGUAACCCCGAGUGAUCGGCCUGUGAGCCAGCGUGGACCCUAAAACACGUCGACAGAGCGGGUCAGUUUAGUUACUGGAAUGUAGAGCUGAGCGAUACGGGGAAAAGUUUAUCAGGAUAUAUUAUUUUCCUAUCAGCUGAUAUGGAUCAAUAUCAGGAUCUAAAAAUCUAACAGUGUUUCUUGGUCUCAUGUCUUUUCCAACACAAUAAUCUCCUGCAUCUGUGAGGUCUUUGUGUCUCUUUGGCGUUUUGUCGUAAGGCGUCGCUCUAGAGAAAGCCGACUGAAUGGUCGUCUGUUUCAGGCGCCAUGGGCUCCUCGCUCCUCUCGGGGUUUGUAACCUUUUGCGUUGCGCGUGCUCUGCGGCGUGGCGCUGCUUCAGGUGGUGAAAAAGAUUUGAGGUAUUCCCCGACUUUGUGAGAACAUGUACUCGACAUAAUUUACAGUCCACAUUACUCUGCUUCAUGUCCGACCUCCAAAAACCAAAAUACCUCCACACCACCGACGUUUUCCUAACGCCAGUGUUGUGGUUGACAUUGAUGUGGUCAUCUGUUGAGCCUUCAUGGUCAUUUCUGUCGGGGGUAGCACUCAUUUUCUUUGUUUCUCACCAACAGUGCUGUCGGCUUCACCUGUUAAAGUGCUAUGGUUGGGUGGAGCUGCUGUCUGCUACGACUUUGCUGCAGUUGGUUGAUACUUGGUUCUAAUUCAGAACAUGAUUGGUUCAGACCCGGAGAAACUCCCCUUUUCAUUGGCUGUUCGUAUAGUCGACCAAAACAUGUCAGAAUGACGACUAUUGAAAAGGAUAUUGAUCAUGUUUGAUAUCGAUAUUGAGGGAAAUUAAUUUUUGUUAUACAUCGUUAUCGUUUUAU